rnacentral:rRNA from 1 species
UCAAGUUAUUAAGGGUGCAGGGCGGAUGCCUUGGCACUAGGAGCCGAUGAAGGACGUGAUAAGCUGCGAUAAGCUUCGGGGAGUUGCACGUAAACUUUGAUCCGAAGAUUUCCGAAUGAGGAAACUCACUUAGAGUAAUGUCUAAGUAUCAUUAAGUGAAUACAUAGCUUAAUGAGGGGAACUCAGGGAACUGAAACAUCUAAGUACCUGAAGGAAGAGAAAGAAAUUCGAUUCCGUAAGUAGCGGCGAGCGAACGCGGAUUAGCCCAAACCAAUAAAGUUUUCUUUAUUGGGGUUGCGGACAUAUCAUAACGAAGAGGUAUCGUAAUUGAAGAGGUUUGGAAAGACCCACCACAGAAGGUAAUAGUCCUGUAUGUUAAACGAGAAGACUUUAGAUAUGAUCCAGAGUACCACGGGACACGUGAAACCCUGUGGGAAGCAGGAGGGACCACCCUCCAAGGCUAAAUACUACCUAGUGACCGAUAGCGUAUAGUACCGUGAGGGAAAGGUGAAAAGAACCCCGGGAGGGGAGUGAAAUAGAACCUGAAACCCUGCACUUACAAGCUGUGGAAGCACAUUUCUUGUGUGACCGCGUACUUUUUGUAGAACGGGCCAACGAGUUACGUUAAGUAGCAAGGUUAAGCACUUAAGGUGUGGAGCCGUAGCGAAAGCGAGUUUUAACUGAGCGUUCAGUUACUUGACGUAGACCCGAAACCGGGCGACCUACCCAUGAGCAGGAUGAAGCGAAAGUAAAAUUUCGUGGAGGUCCGAACCCACGAGCGUUGAAAAGCUCGGGGAUGACUUGUGGGUAGCGGUGAAAUUCCAAUCGAGCCCGGAGAUAGCUGGUUCUCCCCGAAAUAGCUUUAGGGCUAGCCUCAAGGUGAGAGAUACGGAGGUAGAGCACUGAAUGUCCUAGGGGGUAUUGCACCUACCGAAGACUAUCAAACUCCGAAUGCCGUCAUCUUAUACUUGGGAGUCAGACUGUGGGUGAUAAGAUUCAUAGUCGAAAGGGCAACAGCCCAGAUCGUCAGCUAAGGUCCCUAAAUGUAAGUUAAGUGGUAAAGGAUGUGGGAUUGCACAGACAACCAGGAUGUUGGCUUAGAAGCAGCCACUCAUUCAAAGAGUGCGUAAUAGCUCACUGGUCGAGUGAUCCUGCGCCGAAGAUUUCCGGGGCUAAAACUUACUACCGAAGCUACGGCAUCAGUAAUGAUGGGUAGGGGAGCUUCCCAUACGGGUUGAAGCAUGACCGUAAGGACAUGUGGACAGUAUGGGAGUGAGAAUGUUGGCAUGAGUAGCGAGAUGUGGGUGAGAAUCCCACAGGCCGUAAACCCAAGGUUUCCAGGGGAAGGUUCGUCCGCCCUGGGUUAGUCGGGACCUAAGCUGAGGCCGAAAGGCGUAGGUGAUGGACAACAGGUUGAUAUUCCUGUACUACCGAUAACCGUUUGAGAGAAGGGAUGACACAGUAGGAUAAGCUAAGCACACUGUUGGUUAUGUGUGCCCAAGCAUUGAGGCAGUCAAAGUAGGCAAAUCCGCUUUGAUAAUGCUGGGAUGUGAUGGGGAGCGAAAUUUAGUAGCGAAGUAGCUGAUUUCACACUGUCAAGAAAAGUCUCUAUCGAGGUUAAAGGUACCCGUACCGCAAACCGACACAGGUGGGUGAGGAGAGUAUCCUAAGGCCAGCGAGAGAACUGUUGUUAAGGAACUCGGCAAAAUGACCCCGUAACUUAGGGAUAAGGGGUGCCACCAUCAGGUGGCCGCAGAGAAUAGGCCCAAGCGACUGUUUACCAAAAACAUAGGUUUCUGCUAAGUCGCAAGACGAUGUAUAGGAGCUGACGCCUGCCCGGUGCUGGAAGGUUAAGGGGAUCUGUUAGAGCAAUCGAAGCAGUGAACUUAAGCCCCAGUAAACGGCGGCCGUAACUAUAACGGUCCUAAGGUAGCGAAAUUCCUUGUCGGGUAAGUUCCGACCCGCACGAAAGGCGUAACGAUUUGGGCACUGUCUCAACAACAGACUCGGUGAAAUUGUAAUUCCGGUGAAGAUGCCGGAUACCUGCGACAGGACGGAAAGACCCCAUGGAGCUUUACUGUAGCUUGACAUUGGGUCUUGGUACUACAUGUACAGGAUAGGUGGGAGGCUUUGAAACCAGGACGCCAGUUUUGGCGGAGCCAUCCUUGGGAUACCACCCUUGUAGUACUGGGACUCUAACCAUAGGCCAUGAAUCUGGUCUUGGGACACUGUCAGGUGGGCAGUUUGACUGGGGCGGUCGCCUCCCAAAAGGUAACGGAGGCGCUCAAAGGUUCUCUCAGUACGGUCGGAAAUCGUACGUAGAGUGUAAAGGCAAAAGAGAGCUUGAUUGCAAGACAUACAGGUCGAGCAAGGAUGAA